rnacentral:rRNA from 1 species
AGAGUUUGAUCCUGGCUCAGGACGAACGCUGGCGGCGUGCUUAACACAUGCAAGUCGAGCGGAAAGGCCCUUCGGGGUACUCGAGCGGCGAACGGGUGAGUAACACGUGAGCAACCUGCCCUUCACUUUGGGAUAACCCUCGGAAACGGGGGCUAAUACCGGAUAUGACCUUGCCUUGCAUGAGGUUGGGGUGGAAAGUUUUUCGGUGGGGGAUGGGCUCGCGGCCUAUCAGCUUGUCGGUGGGGUGAUGGCCUACCAAGGCGACGACGGGUAGCCGGCCUGAGAGGGCGACCGGCCACACUGGGACUGAGACACGGCCCAGACUCCUACGGGAGGCAGCAGUGGGGAAUAUUGCACAAUGGGCGAAAGCCUGAUGCAGCGACGCCGCGUGAGGGAUGACGGCCUUCGGGUUGUAAACCUCUUUCAGCUCCGACGAAGAGAAAUUGACGGUAGGAGCAGAAGAAGCGCCGGCCAACUACGUGCCAGCAGCCGCGGUAAGACGUAGGGCGCGAGCGUUGUCCGGAUUUAUUGGGCGUAAAGAGCUCGUAGGCGGCUUGUUGCGUCGACUGUGAAAACCCGCGGCUCAACCGUGUGGCUUGCAGUCGAUACGGGCAGGCUAGAAUUCGGUAGGGGAGACUGGAAUUCCUGGUGUAGCGGUGAAAUGCGCAGAUAUCAGGAGGAACACCGGUGGCGAAGGCGGGUCUCUGGGCCGAUAUUGACGCUGAGGAGCGAAAGCGUGGGGAGCGAACAGGAUUAGAUACCCUAGUAGUCC